UAGUGAAAUUGAGAUGGCGGCGAAGACGCCGCCUAUGAAUUCUAAGACGAGAAGACCCCAUUGAGCUUUACUAUUAACUUGUAUUGCCAGAGCAAAGGGGAGGGGGACCCUACGGGUCUAGGGAAUACCCCGGAUCCGUUUUGCCCCCUGUCCCUAGCUUCAUAAUAAAAUUGUGGAGACUAUGUGGCAAAAGAAAAACAAGGGAUUUAAAAGAACGGGGGGGGGGGAGAGACCCUUAGGGGUCCCCCCCCCGGGAUCCGAAGGGUCCGCCACGCCCCGUCCCGAUUUAUAUGAAAAACCACUCUUUUUAUUAAGAUUACUGUCUAACACCGUACAAGUAAGAUAGUUUGGUUGGGGCGACCGCCUUCGAAAAAGUAUCGAAGGCGCACAUAAGAUUAAUCAGGAGAAGGAUCCGAAGGAUCUUUUUCUCGGGGGCAAUGUCCCAAAAAAAGGAGAUUAAUUUGACUGAGAGGGCAACAACCCGAACAGACGUCAAAGGAUAGACCGGGGGGGGAAUCCUACAGAUUCCUUCCCCCCCUCUUUGGCGGGUCAUAGU
rnacentral:rRNA from 1 species